rfam:Mycobacterium rhodesiae NBB3, complete genome.
GAGAGCCGGAUGCGUGGAGACACGCACGUCCGGUUCGGAGGGCGGGCUGGGGAAACGUAACGCUUGUAAAGGCGUCAACGCGCCCCAGUCCGACCCAAC